rnacentral:rRNA from 1 species
UACGGGGGGAGCAAGCGUUGUUCGGAUUUACUGGGCGUAAAGGGCGCGUAGGCGGCGCAACAAGUCACUUGUGAAAUCUCCGGGCUUAACCCGGAGCGGUCAAGUGAUACUGUCGUGCUAGAGUGCGGAAGGGGCUACUGGAAUUCUCGGUGUAGCGGUGAAAUGCGUAGAUAUCGAGAGGAACACCUGCGGCGAAGGCGGGUAGCUGGGCCGACACU